rnacentral:rRNA from 1 species
UGGUGCCAGCAGCCGCGGUAACUCCAGCUCCAAUAGCGUAUAUUAAAGUUGCUGCAGUUAAAAAGCUCGUAGUUGGAUCUUGACGGCAGUGCCACUGGACUUUGGCGUCUGUGCUCUGUGAGCCGAUUCGUCGGUUCGCGGGUGCUUCGCUUUUGGCUAGUUGGUGGUGCAGUCUUUCAGCCGUGUCUGUGCCUCUCGGGGUGCAGGUGCCGGUUGCCGGUUGGGUUUGACUCGACUGGUGAUUGGUACGCACUACAAUCCGCUUUGUUGUGUGUUGUUGUGCGGGCGGCAUGUUUACUUUGAACAAAUUUGAGUGCUCAAAGCAGGCCAAUGUGUCUGAAAAGUCUUGCAUGGAAUAAUAGAAUAGGACUUCAGUUCUAUUUUGUUGGUUUUCGGAUCUGAAGUAAUGGUUAAGAGAGACAGACGGGGGA